CCCUUUGGCGAUUGCAUGGCCUGGCAUUUGUUUCCCCCGUGCGUGUCUCUCCAGUGAAUCCACCACAUUAGCUGUCUUGUCUCCAGCUCAUUUCCAUCAUCCCUGGUGUCCAUUGUGCUGUAGCUUUCUCCUGGUGUGCUCUGUCUUUGUCUCCCUUGGCCCUUGUAGAUCUAAAACCAGUUAAGUCCUGCUUCCCAGCUACUGCUGCUGUCAUCUUUUUGCCUGUUUCUGGCUGAGAAUCUUCCUCAGAGUGUCCGCUCUGUUUGCUGAACCUGUGGAGCCUGGUAAAUCAGAUACCUUAGAAAUCUGAAAAUUUAACAUUACAGACUCUUUAUGUAAUAGAAUCUACAAGCUGGUGAGAGUCCAUUUGUCCCCAGGGUCAGCCUGCAAGAGGAAGUCUGUCUGUCUCUCUCUGUCUGCUGCCCUUUCCUAGAAACUCCUUAGCACAAAGCUCUGCAAACUGAUGCUGUUCCUUUGCUUUUCUGGCUCCACCUAAAGAAGCUGCUUUCAUAUCUAAAGCUUUUCCUACUGGGCUGGCCUGGAAUCUGCCUCCAUUGUUCUGUCCUUGUUGACUUGCCAGGGGGUAAGGGGCCUGGAUUAGUACUUGUGGAGGAUACACAGGACUUGCACUGUUUCUGCCCUAUCCCAUGACCACUGCCUGGGCCCUCUUGUAUGGGAGAGCACUCUUCCCUGUCCUUGGCAAGGAGGGAGGCUCCCACAUCGACUUGGUCCUCUGCCUGCACCCACAAUGUACUCCCAAAGACUGCUGUGGUUCCUUAUCACCUUUUUAAAUAGUGUUUUAAAAAACCCCCAAACACACAUACAUACACCCCUAAGCCCCCAAAACUUCAUGGUUUUCUUCUAGUUUUCAGACAGAAGAAACUAUUCCCAGUCAGCCAUUACUGCCUCCAGGAAGGGGUGGAGUGCUUUAGAAUUCUGCCAGCACUCAGAGCAGUGGAUUUGGAAAGGGAGGAGACCACAGCUGUUCCUUCAUGGUUGCUCAUCCUCUCCCACUCCUGCAGCUAGUCAUUUCAGGAAUGAAGGAAUUGGACUUGCUGUUUUCCUGGCUUGUUUUAGAUCAGCAUAGAGUGAAACUGCAGCAGCAACCACUUAUGUCACUCUCUUGGCCCACUUAGAGCUGAAAUCAGAUGCUCUUUAAAUGCAUGCCAGAAUGACCUGGGGAGUUCAUGAGGAGAGUCCAGACUUACAUGUCUGCAGGCAGAUAACUAUUAUUCUUGGCUGCCUUGGGGUUGUCACAGCCUGAGUUAAAUCACUGCCAGUUGCUGGGGUAUUCUCAGCAGAGGUUUUCAAAGCAGAGAAUUGUGUGCUCUUGAGACAAUUUACAGCAUCACUCUGGACACCAUUUUGCAUGCCUGGACCUGCUUAGGUUUGGGUACAGUAUGCCUCGACUGAUGCAAUUCCAGUGUGAUAUGCUAUUAUUCAUAUCCCAUGAUUUGAGGACAGAGGAAGAACAAGCCUGCAGUGAUAAACUGAAUUACAAUGUAAAGCUGUCUGUCAGAUGUGCUGUAAUUCCACAUUGCAGACUGGUGAAAGGCAUUGUGCUUGAAAUUGUUUCCUUAUAUUUUCAGGUGUAAUGCUAGUGCCAGUUCAAAGAAC